UACGUAGGGUGCAAGCGUUAAUCGGAAUUACUGGGCGUAAAGCGUGCGCAGGCGGUUAUGCAAGACAGAUGUGAAAUCCCCGGGCUUAACCUGGGAACUGCAUUUGUGACUGCAUAGCUUGAGUGCGGCAGAGGGGGAUGGAAUUCCGCGUGUAGCAGUGAAAUGCGUAGAUAUGCGGAGGAACACCGAUGGCGAAGGCAAUCCCCUGGGCCUGCACUGACGCUCAUGCACGAAAGCGUGGGGAGCAAACAGG
rnacentral:rRNA from 1 species